AUGUGGGAGAUCCUCAUGUCAGAUUCAAAGCAUUUUGAUUAUGCACAAGGUCGACGAAAAAGACUUGUAUCAGAAAAGCUUCACAAGCUGACUAAUAUCUUCCAUGCAAAUUCAGCUUUCUUCACCCCUGUGUGUUGGGAUUUUAGUUCUUCCUAUUCUUCAAGCCUUAAAUGUUUUGUUGGUAAAGAUCUAAAAUGUUGGCUUCUUUCUUACCAUUUAUCAAUUCUCUUGUGUUGGUGGGGUGUGGGGUAGGGGCACAAAAUAAUCCAGUGAUGGGAAGGUUAAAUGCAAGAAUACCUCCUCACCCAAUUAAUCCACUCAUGAUCUGUGCUACAAUUAAAUAUACAAAAAAAUUAUCGCAAACCCCAUUCGGACAAAUGACAAACUCUAUGUGUUAAAUUCAGUACCGUUAAUUUUCUCGUUUUUAUUAUCUCUAUAGGAACCCUAAUUUGGUGUGGAUGAUGCUCUGAUUAAGAUUUUUUUGUGAUUUAUUACGGCAGCGCGGAAACACACCCAAGGCUGUGCUGGGCUGUA
rnacentral:lncRNA from 1 species